rnacentral:rRNA from 1 species
UACGUAGGGGGCAAGCGUUGUCCGGAAUUAUUGGGCGUAAAGCGCAUGUAGGCGGCUCGGUAAGUCUGCUGUGAAAGUCCAAGGCUCAACCUUGGAAAGCCGGUGGAUACUGUCGAGCUCGAGUCCGGAAGAGGCGAGUGGAAUUCCUGGUGUAGCGGUGAAAUGCGCAGAUAUCAGGAGGAACACCAAUGGCGAAGGCAGCUCGCUGGGACGGUACUGACGCUGAGACGCGAAAGCGUGGGGAGCAAACAGG